AUGGGAGCUUUCCCUUCACCGCCCCCAUGGGGGUGGUCCACAGGGUUCAUAACUACCCCUCUUACUAUGGGGCGUUUACCUAGACAACACUUAGAUCCGGCUCUACCCAAACUUUUUUGGUUCACCCCAACAUUACCCACUUGUCCGACUGUUGCUAAGCAGUUUUGGGAUACUAAACGAACCUCCCCAGAUGGUAAUCUUAAAGUGGCCGAUUUACCCUCUUCUGCAAUGAGUUUCGCUACAGCACCUGCUGCUCUAGCUAAUUGCCCACCCCUUCCACGUGUGAUUUCUAUGUUAUGCAUGGCCAUGCCUAAGGGCAUAUCAGUUGAAGUAGAUUCUUCUUUUCUCUCAAAAAACCCCUUCCCAAACUGUACAAGCUUCUUCCAAAGCAUACGGCUUUCUAGAUGUAUAUGA
rnacentral:rRNA from 1 species